CAAAACACUGGACUCAGAGGACAAGAAUUAAACCCAAAAGCACCGAACAUGAUGACUUUGGAGGAAGUUAAACUACACACAAGACACAGAAGAACAGUCACCAAAAUAAAAGAGGACGUGAUCCAGGUGUUUUGUUUGGGUUUUUUUUUUUGUUUUUUUUGUUUUUUUUCUCUCUUCCCCCCCUUCUCACCGUCUCUUCUCCCCUCUGGUUUUGUUUCUCUCCCUCUCUUUCUUUCAUUCUUUCUCCCUGUCCUAUCCCCCAGUCAUGUCUGUCCCGUUUGUAGCAACUGAAAAUAAAAUAAAUUCAUAAUUAUAAUAAAGGUCAAUCAAAUGGACCAAUAUGGCAAGGCCAUGAUGAUCCACUUGGUAAAAUAAAUCCGCUUGGCAUCUUUCUUGGCCUUAAGACAACAAUUCUGAUGGCUAAAGAUCCAAACGGGACACAAAAAAAAAAAAAGAAAGAAAUUAUUCAGACGUAUCAUCAAGCUUUGAUAGUUAAAUGCUCAGCCAGGUCCCCGUGCCAAAUACACCCAGACAGAUAAAUUAGACAAACCAGAAGUUAGUGCUUCUUGAUAGCAGCCUCAGAACUUUUAUAACCUCUCAGUUUCACUGUGGCUCAGGCCUGUUAAGCACUUGUCUCUGUAUUGCGCAGGAUUUUUAAUGACUUCUUCACAGUUAUGUCGAGGAUAAUAAUAAGAGCUGAUGAAAAUGAGGGCAGAGCCAGGCUACUUCAUGUCUCAGCACAAGUGGGAAUCUGUCUUUCUGCCAUCACCUGCUAGCAAAUUGGCAAGCAGGUAGUAACAACACUGUAUAAUUAACACAUAAACACACUCAAGUAUGCCUGAGUUUUGUUCACUGUGCCAAAAAUUUAUUUUGGCAUUGGCUUAGGAUUUUUUUUUGUCUUACUUGAUGUAACAGUAGCUUCAUGCUUUAUUAAAAAAAAUAAUUGUAGCUUCACAUGUCUUUCAUCUCCAUAAGAAUGAUGUUUUAAUGGAUGAUAAAAACUCUGAUAAAGUCUUAAACUAAAAUAAUGUUAAAUAUUUG
ensembl:lncRNA